AUCAAAAUCACUUCACUCUCACAGUUCCAUACUCACUUCAAUUCAAUUCGCUUCACUUUGACUCAGAUUCUUACCAUAUUCGUCAACGAAAUGCAAAAUCCAGUGGUGUAGUAGUUCAUGAUCGAAACUAGCUAGUUCAUGUGGGAGAUGAUGGCAAACUUGGCUUCUUUUUUGUUGCUGAGCUGUGUGGUGGUGCUGAUCGCAUUUGUGCAUGAAACGUUGCCGUAUGGUGGUUCUUCUGGACCGCACAUUGCAGAUGUUAACCUUCUUUUGCCUCCCAAAAUGACUUACCCUGUCGAGUACAGGCUUCAAGGAAGUGAUGGUUGCUUCAAAUGGUCAUGGGAUCAUCAUGAUAUACUAUCUGUACUGCCGGAGUACAACUCUAGCAGCAAGUGCUCAACUAGUGCAAGGCUGCGAUCAAUUGCCCCUUAUAGUGGUCGGAAGGAGACUGCCGUUUAUGCUGCUGAUGUAAAUACUGGGGUUGUAGUUCGAUGCAAAGUCUUCAUUGAUAAUAUAUCCAGGAUCCAGAUAUUCCAUAAUUCUAUUAAGCUUGAUUUGGAUGGACUUGCUACACUACGCAUCCGUGCCUUUGACAGUGAAGAAAAUGUGUUUUCCUCAUUAGUUGGCUUACAGUUUAUGUGGAACCUUAUGCCUGAAGUCAGUGGAUUGCCUCACCACCUUGUUAAUGUUCCUCUAAAGGAUUCUCCCCUUAGUGAUUGUGGAGGACUCUGUGGUGACUUGGAUAUACAAAUAAUGCUUGAAGAAAAUGGUGUAUUUUCAGAUCUAUAUGUAGUAAGGGGAGUUGAGAUUGGCCAUGAGCUUGUCUCUGUGCUUUUGCUUGAGCCACAGUUGAAGAAUUUGUCUGAUGAGAUUGUUCUCACUGUAGCUGAAGCUAUGUCACUUGAUCCUCCCUCACCAGUUUUUGUCCUUGUUGGUGCAGUCAUUCCCUAUACACUUAAAGUCACUCGGGGAAAUGUUCCUCAAGUGGUUGCUUUACCGUCACCACAUCAUCACUGGUCUGUCUCAAAUGGUUCGGUUGCUCAGGUUGACUCAAAGACAGGAUUAGCAUAUGCAUGGAACUUGGGAAUGACAGCUAUCAUUGUUGAAGACAUAAGGGUUGCUGGUCAUGUACAAGUUUCUUCACUAAACGUCGUCCUACCAGCUUCGUUAAGUUUAUUUCUAGCACCUUUAUCUAGUACUGGUGAUCCUGUGGAAGAAAUCGACUCCAUACCUCAAACGGCUCGUUGGUAUGUAGUGUCUGGCCAUCAGUAUCUUAUCCAGAUAAAGGUUUUUGCACAUGCUCAUGAUGCACAAGAGAUUUAUAUCACCGAGAAUGAUGAUAUUAAGGUUUAUGAUGACCACAAAUACUUUAAAACAUUUUUGGUUUCGAAUGAUAUUGCUGUCAAACAUGGCUGGCGGAAUUCUAAAAUCCUUAAAGCUUAUUCCCCUGGACUUGGAAAAUUUACAGCUUCUUUGACCUAUCCAGCUGGGACCGACAACAAAAAGGAGAUUAUAACAGUUGUGCAAGAGAUUAUGAUUUGUGAUCAAGUGAUGUUCACUUUGGAAAAUGAAAAUAGAACCAUCUUAUUGCCUUGGGCCCCUGGUGUUUAUCAAGAUGUGGAGUUGAAGGCCAUAGGAGGUUGUGCAAAAGCAGUGAGUGACUACAAAUGGUUGUCUUCAGACACAUCUACUGUUUCUGUAUCAGCAUUUGGUAUUGUUCAGGCAAAAAAGCCUGGUAAAGCUACCAUUAAAGUGUUUUCUAUAUAUGAUUCACUAAAUUAUGACGAGGUCCUCAUUGAAGUCUCCAUCCCAUCUUCUAUGGUUGUGCUUCACAAUUUUCCAGUAGAAACUGUUGUUGGAUCACACCUUCAAGCUGCUGUGACAAUGAAAGCAGCAAACGGUGCCUUCUUUUAUAGAUGCAAUGUCUUUAAUUCUUUGAUUAAAUGGAAAGCUGGAAGCGAGUCUUUUGUAAUUGUCAAUUCAACUCGGGACUUAUCAUAUUUGGAAACAGCGACAAAUACUCAGUUCCAUUCAUCAGCUGAUGGUUUUCCUUGCUCUUGGACACAUUUAUAUGCUUUGAAUCCUGGUCAUGCUGUGAUCCAUGCCAUACUUUCUAAAGAAUAUAAUGAAUACAGUCAUGGUCCUGUUGUCUUAAAAGCAUCAUUUCGUGUUGCGGCAUAUGUACCCCUUAUUGUGCAACAGGCUAGUGAUGGAAACAAAUUUGGUGGUUACUGGCUUGACUUGGCUCAAACAAAAAGUAAUAAGCAAUCUCAUACGUUAGAGGAGUUAUACCUUGUCCCUGGGACAAGUUUAGACAUAUUACUUGUUGGUGGACCUGAACAGUGGGACAAAGGUGUUGAUUUUAUUGAAACUGUGAAUGUUAUACGUCAGGAUAAUGCUCUGGUUGAAAAUGGAGUUCUUGUGCAUAGGUUAUCUGGUAGCUAUAACAGUUUGUAUGGAGUUUCAUGUCAAACACUGGGAACCUUUAAACUUCUUUUCAAACGUGGGAACUUGGUGGGAGAUGACCAUCCUCUUCCUUCAGUAGCUGAAGUUUGGCUGUCGGUUACUUGUAGCAUUCCUUCUCAUAUUGUAGUCAUUGCUGACGAACCAGUGAAUGAACGCGUAAUUAUUAGAGCUGCAGCUCAAGCUGACCGUAGUUCGGGGCAACUUCGAAAUUCCCCUGUUACUGUGGCAAAUGGACGCACUAUUCGGGUAUCUGCUGCUGGUAUUAGUGAUUCUGGAGAACCUUUUGCAAACUCAUCUUCCCUCAGUUUGACGUGGGAGCUUAGCAGUUGUGAGGGACUAGCAUAUUGGGAUUAUGCUUUUGAUAUUGUGAAGUCCAACAACUGGGAGAGAUUCUUGGUCUUGCAAAAUGAAUCAGGAUUGUGCAUUGUUCGUGCUACUGUUACUGGCUUCAUUGGCAGCUUGGAAUACAAUACAUCUCACCUCUUUCGUGAAAGAGAAAAUUUGCUAACAGAUGCAAUUCGGUUACAGCUAGUUUCUACCCUAAGAGUUGAUCCAGAGUUCAACUUGAUAUAUUUCAAUCCUAAGGCAAAGGUAAAUUUGUCAAUUACUGGUGGGAGCUGUUUCUUGGAAGCUGUUACAAAUGAUUCUCAAGUUGUGGAAGUCACCCAGCCACCAUCAGGACUAGAAUGCUUUCAACUAAUUCUCUCUCCAAAAGGAUUAGGGAUAGCUAAUCUGACUUUGUAUGACAUUGGGCUAACUCCUCCACCAAGAGCAUCUGCCCUUGUCCAAGUAGCAGAUAUAGAAUGGAUUAAGAUCGCAUCAGGAGAGGAGAUUAGCUUGAUGGAGGGAGGUUUGCAAACUAUUGACUUAUUGGCUGGUACUAAUGAUGGAAGGAAUUUUCUCGCUUCUCAGUUUGUUUACAUGACUCUUCAUGUACAUGUUGAGGAUGGUAUACUUGAGCUGCUGGAUUCCGACAAUUUCUCAAGUCUUGUAGGUGGACAUGUUAAUGCACCAAGUUUUAAAAUAAGGGGGAGACAUCUUGGAAUUACAACCCUUCAUGUCAGUGCUGUUCAACAUUCUGGACAUAUAAUACAGAGUCAAGCUAUUAAGGUGGAAGUAUAUGCACCACCAGUAAUACACCCUCGUGAUAUCUUCCUGCUUCCUGGUGCGUCAUAUGUGCUGGCCAUGAAAGGAGGCCCAACUCUUGGUGUUAACGUUGAGUAUUUGAUUGAAAAUGAUAAAAUUGCAAGUAUUGAUAGAUAUUCUGGAAGGCUCUUGGCAAUAUCUGUUGGGAACACUACAAUUAUUGCCAGUGUGCUUGUGAACGGGAACAAUGUUAUUUGUGAAGCACAGAGCAGUUUAAGGGUGGGAGUUCCAUCUACUGUCAAAUUGCAUGUGCAGAGUGAACAACUUGGGGUUGGCCGCAAAUUGCCAAUUUAUCCAUUAUUUCCCGAGGGAAACUUGUUUUCAUUUUAUGAGCUGUGCAAAAAUUACCACUGGACUAUUGAAGAUGAAAAGAUAUUGAGUUUCAAAAUGGCAGAAAGCUUGCUUAGUGCUUCCGAAGAAAGUCAAGUUAGUGGUUCCGGGGAUGAGAAUGACCUUGGCUUUAUUAAUGUCUUGUAUGGAAGGUCUGCAGGCAAGACCAGUGUUGCUGUGUCAUUUUCGUGUGAACUCUCAACUUCUCGUUCAAAGCCGCAGUCAAGGUUUUACAGUUCAUCUUUAUCAGUGACAGUGGUUCCUGAUCUUCCCUUGGCUUUGGGGGUCCCAAUAACCUGGAUUCUUCCUCCCCAUUAUGAAACUACAAGCCUAUUGCCUUCAUCAUCAGAAUCUUAUUUGCAGUUUGAUAGUCAUAAUCGUAAAGGAGCCAUUAUUUAUUCUUUAUUGAAAAGUUUGGAGAAAAGUUCUUUGCAAAAGGAUGACAUAUCCAUUGAUGGGGACAGAAUUAAAACAACUGCAAGUAAUAAUCUUGCCUGCAUUCAAGCUAAAGAUCGUAACACAGGAAGAACAGAGAUAGCUUCUUGUGUAAAGGUUGCUGAGGUCUGUCAGAUAAGAAUAGCCAAUAAGGAGGUUCUUCUCAGUGUUGUUAACCUUGCUGUUGGUGCAGAAUUUGAUCUUCCAACUAGCUUUUAUGAUUAUUUAGGAAAUCCUUUUUAUGAAGCAUACAAUGCAGUGCCUUUUUAUGUUGAAAGUAACUACCCUGAUAUUCUUCACACAAACAGAACAGCUGAUGGAAAAGGGACUGUACAUGUCAAGGCAAUUCGACAAGGUAAAGCUCUUGUGCGUGUAUCAAUUGGUGAAGCUCCACAAAAAUCAGAUUAUGUGCUUAUUAAAGUUGGUGCUCAUAUACAUCCUCAAAAUCCAGUCAUUCACAUUGGAAGCCCUCUUAACUUCAGCGUAAAAGGUUUGAGCGAUACUGUUUCUGGACAGUGGUUUACCACAAAUGGAAGUGUCAUAUCGGUUGACCCAAUAUCUGGGAUGGUCAAAGCUAUUGGGGAAGGUUCAGCCCAAGUGUCUUUCCAGUAUGCAAGAUCAAAACUGCAAACAACAAUUACAGUGUUAAAAGGAGAUACCAUUUCUGUUGAUGCUCCGAAAGAGAUGUUAACUAAUGUUCCAUACCCUACAAAAGGAUACAACUUCCCCGUGAAGCUAAGCAUUAGUGCUGGUUCACCUGGAGGAAACAAUGGAGUUUCGUUUGAUUGUAGAGUAGAUCCACCAUACGUGGGGUACGUGAAGCCAUGGCUGGAUUUGGACUCUGGCAACACAUACUGUCUUUUCUUCCCUUACUCACCAGAGCAUUUGGUGCACUCGGUACCCAAGUUAGAAGGCUCAAGACGAGACAUAUCUCUCUCCAUAUAUGCUUCCCUUAGACAACAUAAUCGUAUUUCGGGAUCUGCUUCAGCACUUUUUAUUGGAGGGUUUUCUGUAAAGGAGAUGGGCAAGAAUUCAAUGCAACUGAAUCUGUCUCCAGUCUCUAACAGAAGUAGUAUAACCAUCUUGGGAAAUACUGAUGUUGAAAUUCAAUGGCAUCACCAAGAUUUGGUUAUGGUUAGUCCAAUUCAUAAAGAAGAUUUUGGCAUUCGAGGCCUGGCACAAUAUGAGGUGAAAGUGCUGAAAAACAAGAGAUUCCAGGACAAAAUCAUCGUUACACUUCCAGCUACUGGCCAGAGAGUAGAAAUAGGUGUAAACUAUGAACCUGAGGAAACAGCGCCGUCCAGUGGAACCUUUGAUAAAGCCCUCAUUGCAAUCAUACUGGGGACACUUCUGCUGUCAACUCUCAUAUUUUGGAUCUUUGGCUUCUUGGAUGGACGAGUGAGAUCUCAGCGAACCAGUGCCCUGGCUACCACAAGCAGCGCCACAGCAGCACCUACCACACCGGAAAGAAGCAGCCCUGCCAUUGUAAAGGAAAUGUCUCCUCGGACGCCGCAACCUUUUGUAGAAUAUGUGAGGAGAACUAUUGAUGAAACUCCAUACUACAAGCGAGAAAGGAGAAGGGUUAAUCCACAGAAUACGUUUUAGGGUUUUCAUGGGCUAAUUGACACCUCCCACAAUUUUCAUCACACAUAGGUGGAGUGCACUCUUGCUCAUUGUUGUAUUAUAAUCUUCUCAAUGACAAUUUUGGUAAUUAGUAGUGUAAAUUUAAGAAUGUAUGCUAGCAUUCUGUAUUAAUUAGUGUCCAUUUAUAUGUAUGGUUGCUAGGUUAAUGUUGUUGUGAAUGUGAUGUUACCAUGCACGUGAAAGGGUGGAAACUAAUAAACAUUCCCGGGGAGAUUAAAAGCACAACCAUAUAAAUAAAAAAAAGGCGUCCAAACAUAAGAGACGGUAGAAGUAAAAUGCGCUGAACCAAUGAAGCAUGAAAUAAAUAAGGCUGAAAAAUACGACAUGCGUUUUGGGUGAUAGGACUGUUGCUGGCGUGAGU